rnacentral:rRNA from 1 species
UCCUUAGAUGUCCUGGGCCGCACGCGCGCUACACUGAUGCAUUCAACGAGUUCUACCUUGGCCGAGAGGCCUGGGCAAUCUUUUGAACCUGCAUCGUGAUAGGGAUAGAUUAUUGCAAUUAUUAAUCUUGAACGAGGAAUUCCUAGUAAACGCAGAUCAUCAAUCUGCAUUGAUUACGUCCCUGCCCUUUGUACACACCGCCCGUCGCUACUACCGAUUGGAUGGCUUAGUGAGACCCUCGGACCGAUAGGCUGUCGCUGCAGCAAUGUGGCGACUGGCCCGUCUGGGAAGAAGGUCAAACUUGACUGUCUAGAGGAAGUAAAAGUCGUAACA